GGGCCCGUCGUACGCUUGCUGCGCCGGCCGCCAUCGGACCGCGGGAAUUAUGGCGAGGUUACCUCGAGACGACUUGACUGACUGACUACAGAGCUGACGCUUGAUGACGACUAUCGACUCGACUGAGGUUACCUUGAGUACGUACUCUAGACGUGACUGAGGUUACUCUUGUUACGACUUGACUGACUGAGGUUACCUUGUUACGACUUCCCCGCGGCGGCUGGCACUCAGUCAGUCAA
rnacentral:rRNA from 1 species